GAGUUUGAUCCUGGCUCAGGAUGAACGCUGGCGGCGUGCCUAAUACAUGCAAGUCGAACGAAGCGAUUUGGGAAAUUUAUUUUUCAGAUUGACUGAGUGGCGAACGGGUGAGUAAGACAUAAGUAAUCUGCCGUAAAGACUGGGAUAACUUUGAGAAAUUAAAGCUAAGACCGGAUAGGAAUUAUUGAGGCAUCUUAAUAAUUUUAAAGGGGCUUAUGGCCUUGUUAUACGAUGAGCUUAUGGCGCAUUAGCUAGUUGGUAAGGUAAUGGCUUACCAAGGCGAUGAUGCGUAGCCGGCCUGAGAGGGUGACCGGCCACACUGGGACUGAGACACGGCCCAGACUCCUACGGGAGGCAGCAGUAGGGAAUUUUCGGCAAUGGGGGCAACCCUGACCGAGCGACGCCGCGUGAGUGAAGACGGUCUUCGGAUUGUAAAGCUCUGUUAUCAGGGAAGAAUAAGGUUAUCAGGAAAUGGAUAAUCGAUGACGGUACCUGAUCAGAAAGCCACGGCUAACUACGUGCCAGCAGCCGCGGUAAUACGUAGGUGGCGAGCGUUAUCCGGAAUUAUUGGGCGUAAAGGGUGCGCAGGCGGAACGACAAGUCAGUGGUGAAAUCUCCUGGCUCAACCAGGAAACUGCCAUUGAUACUAUCGUUCUUGAGUCCAGUUGAAGUAGGCGGAAUGUAGCAUGUAGCGGUGAAAUGCUUAGAUAUGCUACAGAACACCGAUAGCGAAGGUAGCUUACUAAACUGAAACUGACGCUCAUGCACGAAAGCGUGGGGAUCAAACAGGAUUAGAUACCCUGGUAGUCCACGCCCUAAACGAUGAUCACUCGUCGUUGGCAACUAUAUCGUCAGCGACUAAGCGAAAGCAUUAAGUGAUCCACCUGGGGAGUACGAUCGCAAGGUUGAAACUCAAAGGAAUUGACGGGGGCCCGCACAAGCGGAGGAGCAUGUGGUUUAAUUCGAUGAUACGCGAGGAACCUUACCUGGGCUAGAACGCAGAACGACGUUUCGGGAAACCGGAAUUCUCUUCGGAGCGAUCUGCGAGGUGCUGCAUGGUUGUCGUCAGCUCGUGCCGUGAGGUGUCGGGUUAAGUCCCAUAACGAGCGCAACCCCUAUUCUUAGUUGCCAUCAGGUAAUGCUGGGGACUCUAAGAAAACAGCCUACGCAAGUAGUGAGGAAGGUGGGGAGGACGUCAAAUCAGCACGGCCCUUAUGUCCAGGGCUACACACGUGCUGCAAUGGCCGGUACAGAGGGCAGCCACCUGGUGACAGGGAGCAAAUCUCCAAAGCCGGUCUCAGUUCGGAUCGAAGUCUGCAACUCGACUUCGUGAAGUUGGAUUCGCUAGUAAUCGUAUAUCAGCCAUGCUACGGUGAAUACGUUCCCGGGCCUCGUACACACCGCCCGUCAAG
rnacentral:rRNA from 1 species